rnacentral:rRNA from 1 species
UGGCUCAGGACGAACGCUGGCGGCGCGCCUAACACAUGCAAGUCGAACGAGCGAGAGAGAGCUUGCUUUCUCGAGCGAGUGGCGAACGGGUGAGUAACGCGUGAGGAACCUGCCUCAAAGAGGGGGACAACAGUUGGAAACGACUGCUAAUACCGCAUAAGUCCACAGCUCGGCAUCGAGCAGAGGGGAAAGGAGCAAUCCGCUUUGAGAUGGCCUCGCGUCCGAUUAGCUAGUUGGUGAGGUAACGGCCCACCAAGGCGACGAUCGGUAGCCGGACUGAGAGGUUGAACGGCCACAUUGGGACUGAGACACGGCCCAGACUCCUACGGGAGGCAGCAGUGGGGAAUAUUGCACAAUGGGGGAAACCCUGAUGCAGCGACGCCGCGUGGAGGAAGAAGGUCUUCGGAUUGUAAACUCCUGUUGUUGGGGAAGAUAAUGACGGUACCCAACAAGGAAGUGACGGCUAACUACGUGCCAGCAGCCGCGGUAAAAACGUAGGUCACAAGCGUUGUCCGGAAUUACUGGGUGUAAAGGGAGCGCAGGCGGAACACAAGUUGGAAGUGAAAUCUAUGGGUUCAACCCAUAACACUGCUUUUAAAAAUGUUUCUCCUGGGUAGUGCCAGAGGGACGCGGAAUUUCCGGGGGAGGCGGUGGAAUGGUAAGAUAUUGGGGAGGAACCACCAGUGCGGGAAGGGGGGCUUACUGGGCCACCCAACUGACGCUGAGGCUCGAAAGUGUGGGUAGCAAACAGGAUUAAAUACCCUGGUAGUCCACACCGUAAACGAUGAUUACUAGGUGUUGGAGGAUUGACCCCUUCAGUGCCGCAGUUAACACAAUAAGUAAUCCACCUGGGGAGUACGACCGCAAGGUUGAAACUCAAAGGAAUUGACGGGGGCCCGCACAAGCAGUGGAGUAUGUGGUUUAAUUCGACGCAACGCGAAGAACCUUACCAAGUCUUGACAUCCCUUGACAGGCAUAGAAAUAUGUUUUCUCUUCGGAGCAAGGAGACAGGUGGUGCACGGUUGUCGUCAGCUCGUGUCGUGAGAUGUUGGGUUAAGUCCCGCAACGAGCGCAACCCUUAUGGUCAGUUACUACGCAAGAGGACUCUGGCCAGACUGCCGUUGACAAAACGGAGGGAGGUGGGGAUGACGUCAAAUCAUCAUGCCCUUUAUGACUUGGGCUACACACGUACUACAAUGGCGUUAAACAAAGAGAAGCAAGACCGCGAGGUGGAGCAAAACUCAGAAACAACGUCCCAGUUCGGACUGCAGGCUGCAACUCGCCUGCACGAAGUCGGAAUUGCUAGUAAUCGUGGAUCAGCAUGCCACGGUGAAUACGUUCCCGGGCCUUGCACUCACCGCCCGUCA